ACCAGUACUGAGUCGAUGUACAGGGGUACGAGGUAAUAACAAGGCUAUAUACAGUACCAGUACUGAGGCGUUGUACAGGGGUACGAGGUAAUAACAAGGCUAUAUACAGUACCAGUACUGAGUCGAUGUGCAGGGGUACAAGGUAAUAACAAGGCUAUAUACAGUACCAGUACUGAGGCGUUGUACAGGGGUACGAGGUAAUAACAAGGCUAUAUACAGUACCAGUACUGAGUCGAUGUACAGGGGUACGAGGUAAUAACAAGGCUAUGUACCAGUACUGAGUCGAUGUGCAGGGGUACGAGGUAAUGAGGCUAUAUACAGUACCAGUACUGAGUCGCUGUGCAGGGGUACGAGGUAAUAACAAGGCUAUAUACAGUACCAGUACUGAGUCGAUGUACAACGAGGUAAUGAGGUAAUAACAUGGCUAUAAGGCCCAGUACUGAGUCGAUGUGCAGGGGUACGAGGUAACAACA
rnacentral:lncRNA from 1 species